CCCAGCACAACAAUGGCAGAGUUGAAGUUGCGGCCGGGAUUUCAAAGAAGAUAACAUUUUUCUUCUUCCUCUUGACAAUAUCCUUCUUUCUCACUUUCUCAUCUCCGUCUUUUCGUUUUUGAAAAAGGGUCAAAUCAAUAACUCUUCCAAUACUUACAAAAUCACACACAGAUCAUUAUGGAAAGAAAAUGGAGGACAUUUGAGAAGAAUGUAAGAUUGAAGCAAUCAGAGGCAACAAUAAUACAUUGAUAGCAGAUGUGGUAAUAGUCCGGUUGCUUUUGGUGAUCAUAGACAGCUUUGCUUCAGUAUUUUUUUCAUCAACUUGGGGCCGAUUUUUUGCAGGGAGUUAUUUAGUUCGGUUGGGGUUGUGGCGUCUCGUCGAGUUUUCAUUCCUCCUAGCUGCCUAACCCAAUCUAAGUUAGUUUCAGUUGGAAUUUUUCUUAUAUGCCUAGAGAUGCUUCUAUUCUGGUUCAUUUUCAUGCUUAAGUGCAGGGUGUUUUUUUUCUUAAUUUUUAGAUAUUUAUGUUCAGUUUAUUAGAAAUUUCUGCAUCGGUGGAAUUUUAUCGGUGGCUCUCGAUUGUUGUUCCUUGCUUUCUGAUUUUUUACUGGUUAUACUGCUGAGUUAAGGAAUGAAAGCAGGAUUGGUGUUGCUGAUACUUUGUUUAUUUCGUUGGAAUUGGUGGAAGGUGGAAGCUUAUAUUUGAUGUCUUUGUUAUAGUUAUGUUUGCAUUGUGUUAAUUUGAUAGGUGACCGUAAGCAUUAGCUGUGUAAUAUAUCAUGAGAA